rnacentral:rRNA from 1 species
ACGAACGCUGGCGGCGUGCUUAACACAUGCCAGUCGCACGGAAAGGCCCUGCUUUUGUGGGGUGCUCGAGUGGCGAACGGGUGAGUAACACGUGAGUAACCUGCCCUUGACUUUGGGAUAACUCCAGGAAACUGGGGCUAAUACCGGAUAGGAGCUCCUGCUGCAUGGUGGGGGUUGGAAAGUUUCGGCGGUUGGGGAUGGACUCGCGGCUUAUCAGCUUGUUGGUGGGGUAGUGGCUUACCAAGGCUUUGACGGGUAGCCGGCCUGAGAGGGUGACCGGCCGCAUUGAGACUGAGAUACGGCCCAGACUCCUACGGGAGGCAGCAGUGGGGAAUAUUGCACAAUGGGCGGAAGCCUGAUGCAGCAACGCCGCGUGCGGGAUGACGGCCUUCGGGUUGUAAACCGCUUUCGCCUGUGACGAAGCGUGAGUGACGGUAAUGGGUAAAGAAGCACCGGCUAACUACGUG